rnacentral:rRNA from 1 species
GAGUUUGAUCCUGGCUCAGAAUGAACGCUGGCGGCGUGCUUUACACAUGCAAGUCGAGCGAGGCGUGUAGCAAUACACAGUCGAGCGGCGAACGGGUGAGUAACGCGUGGAUUAUCUGCCCUGAGGUGGGGGAUAACCCGGGGAAACUCGGGCUAAUACCGCAUAGGACCGUGAGGUCAAAGGGGGGUCGCAAGAUCUCUCGCCAUAGGAGGAGUCCGCGUCCGAUUAGCUAGUUGGUAGGGUAAUGGCCUACCAAGGCGACGAUCGGUAGCCGGCCUGAGAGGGUGAUCGGCCACACUGGAACUGAGACACGGUCCAGACUCCUACGGGAGGCAGCAGUGGGGAAUUUUGCGCAAUGGGCUAACGCCUGACGCAGCAACGCCGCGUGGAGGAUGAAGGUCCUUGGAUUGUAAACUCCUGUCAGCAGGGAAAAAGCAACCUGACCUCAUACGUCAGGAAGUUGAUUGUACCUGCAGAGGAAGCCCCGGCUAACUCUGUGCCAGCAGCCGCCGCCGUAAUACC